rnacentral:rRNA from 1 species
UACGGGGGGGGGCAAGCGUUGUUCGGAAUUACUGGGCGUAAAGGGCUCGUAGGUGGCCAACUAAGUCAGACGUGAAAUCCCUCGGCUUAACCGGGGAACUGCGUCUGAUACUGGAUGGCUUGAGUUCGGGAGAGGGAUGCGGAAUUCCAGGUGUAGCGGUGAAAUGCGUAGAUAUCUGGAGGAACACCGGUGGCGAAGGCGGCAUCCUGGACCGACACUGACACUGAGGAGCGAAAGCCAGGGGGAGCAAACGGG